UACGGAGGAUGCGAGCGUUAUCCGGAUUUAUUGGGUUUAAAGGGUGCGUAGGCGGGCUUUUAAGUCAGCGGUAAAAAUUCGGGGCUCAACCCCGUCCGGCCGUUGAAACUGGGGGUCUUGAGUGGGCGAGAAGAAGGCGGAAUGUGUGGUGUAGCGGUGAAAUGCAUAGAUAUCACGCAGAACCCCGAUUGCGAAGGCAGCCUUCCGGCGCCCUACUGACGCUGAGGCACGAAAGUGCGGGGAUCGAACAGG
rnacentral:rRNA from 1 species